rfam:Ovis aries breed Texel chromosome 12, whole genome shotgun sequence.
UCCCUGGUGGCUCAGAGGUUAAAGCCUCUGCCUGCAAUGCGGGAGGCCUGGGUUCGAUCCCUGGGUUGGGAA